AGUGAACGCUGGCGGUAGGCCUAACACAUGCAAGUCGAACGGCAGCACAGUAAGAGCUUGCUCUUACGGGUGGCGAGUGGCGGACGGGUGAGGAAUACAUCGGAAUCUACUUUUUCGUGGGGGAUAACGUAGGGAAACUUACGCUAAUACCGCAUACGACCUACGGGUGAAAGCAGGGGAUCUUCGGACCUUGCGCGAUUGAAUGAGCCGAUGUCGGAUUAGCUGGUUGGCGGGGUAAAGGCCCACCAAGGCGACGAUCCGUAGCGGGUCUGAGAGGAUGAUCAGGCACACUGGAACUGAGACACGGUCCAGACUCCUACGGGAGGCAGCAGUGGGGAAUAUUGGACAAUGGGCGCAAGCCUGAUCCAGCCAUACCGCGUGGGUGAAGAAGGCCUUCGGGUUGUAAAGCCCUUUUGUUGGGAAAGAAAAGCAGCAGGUUAAUACCCCGCUGUUCUGACGGUACCCAAAGAAUAAGCACCGGCUAACUUCGUG
rnacentral:rRNA from 1 species